rnacentral:lncRNA from 1 species
CUUCAGUGAUGAGGAUAUCAUUAUUGCUGGGGAGAGCUGGUUUGCUUCCAAAUCUGCCAACUUCUGCAAAGGUGGGAUUAAACAACUGUUCCACAGGUGUGAGAAGUGUGUGCCCUAGGAGGUGGAUACAUAGAGAAGGAAGAGUUGACAGACCAAAUUUCAGAUCUCUAGCACAUCUGCAUCAUGAUGAGGGUAAGAAUUUUUUGGUCUCUCCUCAUAUUUUAUGUACUUUAUUUAUGCCAAAUCUGUUUUCUCUUUCUGCCUUAUUGUUUCAAUUUUAUAUGUCAUACUUUACAAUUUUAAUUUGAAACUUUGCUGCAUAGUUUCUUUUUUGUAUGUUAAAUCAUAGAACAAUAGUUUCAAAAUGCCUAACUACAGGCUAAUGCUGGUUUCAUACAAGUUCUUCAUUGGUCUGUGAUGAAAUGAGAAAAAUAAAGCUAAUAUAAUGAAUUUCCAGUG